AGGACGAACGCUGGCGGCGUGCUUAACACAUGCAAGUCGUACGCGAACGGGUUCUUCUGAACCCUAGUAGAGUGGCGCACGGGUGAGUAACACGUGGAUAAUCUACCCAAUGAUCUGGGAUAACAUUUCGAAAGGAAUGCUAAUACCGGAUAAGCCUACGAAGUCUUCGGACUUAGUGGGAAAAGGUGGGGACCUUCGGGCCUACUGUCAUUGGAUGAGUCCGCGGCCCAUUAGCUAGUUGGUGGGGUAAUGGCCUACCAAGGCUACGAUGGGUAGCUGGUCUGAGAGGAUGAUCAGCCACACUGGAACUGAGACACGGUCCAGACUCCUACGGGAGGCAGCAGUGGGGAAUUUUGCGCAAUGGACGAAAGUCUGACGCAGCAACGCCGCGUGAGUGAUGAAGGUUUUAGGAUCGUAAAGCUCUGUCAGUGGGGAAGAAUUGUCGGGUGGGUAAUAUCCACCUGAAGUGACGGUACCCACAAAGGAAGCACCGGCUAACUCCGUGCCAGCAGCCGCGGUAAUACGGAGGGUGCAAGCGUUGUUCGGAAUUAUUGGGCGUAAAGAGCGUGUAGGCGGUUUUUUAAGUCUGGUGUGAAAGCCCGGGGCUCAACCCCGGAAGUGCAUCGGAAACUGGGAGACUUGAAUACGGGAGAGGGAAGUGGAAUUUCGAGUGUAGGGGUGAAAUCCGUAGAUAUUCGAAGGAACACCAGAGGCGAAGGCGACUUCCUGGACCGAUAUUGACGCUGAGACGCGAAAGCGUGGGGAGCAAACAGGAUUAGAUACCCUGGUAGUCCACGCCGUAAACGAUGGGUACUAGACGUUGCGGGUAAUCACUCCUGCAGUGUCGCAGCUAACGCAAUAAGUACCCCGCCUGGGGAGUACGGCCGCAAGGUUA
rnacentral:rRNA from 1 species